rnacentral:rRNA from 1 species
CCUACGGGAGGCAGCAGUGGGGAAUAUUGGGCAAUGGGCGCAAGCCUGACCCAGCAACGCCGCGUGAGGGAAGAAGGCUUUCGGGUUGUAAACUUCUUUUCUCAGGGACGAAGAAAGUGACGGUACCUGAGGAAUAAGCCACGGCUAACUACGUGCCAGCAGCCGCGGUAAUACGUAGGUGGCAAGCGUUCUCCGGAUUUAUUGGGUGUAAAGGGCGUGUAGGCGGGAGCGCAAGUCAGAUGUGAAAACUCAGGGCUCAACCCUGAGCGUGCGUCUGAAACUGGGUUUCUUGAGUGCUGGGGAGGCAAGCGGAAUUCCGGGUGUAGCGGUGAAAUGCGUAGAUAUACGGAGGAACACCAGUGGCGAAGGCGGAUUGCCGGAGAGUAACUGACGCUGAGGCGCGAAAGCGUGGGGAGCAAACAGGAUUAGAUACCCGAGUAGUC